rnacentral:rRNA from 1 species
AUUGAACGCUAGCGGGAUGCCUUACACAUGCAAGUCGAACGGAGUGGCGAACGGGUGAGUAAUGUAUCGGAACGUGCCCAGUAGCGGGGGAUAAGUACGCGAAUGCGUAGCUAAUACCGCAUAAUAUUGGAGCAGCCGAUAUCGGUUGAGGUAUUUGGUGGGGUAAGGGCUCACAAAGGCGACGAACCGUAGCUGGUGUGAGAGGACGACCAGACUAACUGGGACUGAGACACGGCCCAGACUCCUACGAGAGGCAGCAGUGGGGACUUUUGGACAGUGGGCGAAACCCUGAUCCAGCCAUCCCGCGUGUGCGAUGAAGGCCUUCGGGUUGUAAAGCACUUUUGGCAGGAAAGCGGUACCUGCAGAAUAAGCACCGGCUAACUACGUGCCAGCCGCCGCGGUAAUUC